rnacentral:rRNA from 1 species
AUAACAGGGUCUGUGAUGCCUUAGAUGUUCUGGGCCGCACGCGCGCUACACUGACGGAGCCAGCGAGUAAUUCCUUGGCCGGAAGGCCCGGGUAAUCUUGUUAAACUCCGUCGUGCUGGGGAUAGAGCAUUGCAAUUAUUGCUCUUCAACGAGGAAUCCCUAGUAAGCGCAAGUCAUCAGCUUGCGUUGAUUACGUCCCUGCCCUUUGUACACACCGCCCGUCGCUACUACCGAUUGAAUGGCUCAGUGAGGCGUCCGGACUGGCCCAGGGAGGUGGGCAACUACCACCCAGGGCCGGAAAGCUCUCCAAACUCGGUCAUUUAGAGGAAGUAAAAGUCGUAACAAGGUCUCCGUUGGUGAACCAGCGGAGGGAUCAUUAUCGAGUUCUGAAAAAACUCCCAACCCCUGUGAACUAUACCUGUAACUGUUGCUUCGGCGGGACUUGUGCCCGCCGGGGGACCCAAACCUUCUGAAUUUUUUAAGUAUCUUCUGAGUGGUAAAAAAAAAUGAAUCAAAACUUUCAACAACGGAUCUCUUGGUUCUGGCAUCGAUGAAGAACGCAGCGAAAUGCGAUAAGUAAUGUGAAUUGCAGAAUUCAGUGAAUCAUCGAAUCUUUGAACGCACAUUGCGCCCGCCAGUAUUCUGGCGGGCAUGCCUGUUCGAGCGUCAUUACGCCCCUCAAGUCCCCUGCGGACUUGGUGUUGGGGAUCGGCGAGCGCUGUUUGCUCAGCACGCCGUCCCCGAAAUUCAUUGGCGGUCUCGCCGUGGCCCUCCUCUGCGCAGUAGUAAAACACUCGCAACAGGAGCCCGGUGAGGUCCACUGCCGUAAAACCCCCGACUUUUUACAGUUGACCUCGGAAUCAGGUAGGACUACCCGCUGAACUUAAGCAUAUCAAUAAGCGGAGGAAAAGAAACCAACAGGGAUUGCCCCAGUAACGGCGAGUGAAGCGGCAACAGCUCAAAUUUGAAAUCUGGUCCCCAGGGCCCGAGUUGUAAUUUGCAGAGGAUGCUUUUGGUGAGGUGCCUUCCGAGUUCCCUGGAACGGGACGCCAUAGAGGGUGAGAGCCCCGUCUGGUUGGACGCCGAGCCUCUGUAAAGCUCCUUCGACGAGUCGAGUAGUUUGGGAAUGCUGCUCUAAAUGGGAAGGUAUAUGUCUUCUAAAGCUAAAUAUUGGGCCAGAGACCGUAAAGCGCACAAA